CCUAAUCUAAUAUUUGAACAUUUACUUGAAGAAAGUAAGGUAGGGGUUGUUACAUAACUAAUGUCCAUGACAAAAUGACCUUCAGUAACAUGAACUGACGUUAGAUCUGAAAGAACUAGCGCUGGCUAAUUUUUGACAUUAUGCUAACGGCUAACGAUGCUGUGAUAGUUCUGCAACAGCAAAAUAAUAUCAUUGACUGAUUAACAUCAUCUUUACUUUACAUUCCUCUUUCUUUGUCUUGCCUUUUCUCCACUUCUUUUCUUUUUUGCCUCUCUGGACAUCAGGAAGUUUUGGACGUUUUGACAUUUGAAGUGAGUGAAUCUCAACUAAAGCCACAGCGUAGCAGGAUUUGCUAUGCAAAUAAGAUAAUGGGUUAUUCUUUUCUUCUAAACACAUCAAAAUGAACGGCUAUAGUUGAAACCAUAGUUAUAAGAAUAGCGAAGGAUUUAGGCUUGUGCUUUUUUUGUUUCUUCUUCCAUUUGACGUAGGUAUGUGACUAAAAAUCUUAAAUUACGUGGAUUACUCUGAUCUUUAUAUCACUGGAAAAGGCUGAAAGAGACUGUAAAUGACCUAGAUUCAGCCCAUCGCCUUUUUAUUUUGUAAUUCUAAUUUCUUUUUGUAUAAUGUGGUUGGGACUUUUAUUUUGAAGGAAUGUAAAGACGCGCUAACCGGAAGUCAUCAGUGAAGCGAACGUGAAGGCUGCAUGUGCUUCGUGUCUGCCAAAACGAUUAUAAAAACAAAGUUAAAGGUUUAAAAAAGUAAAGUUUAUGAUUUUCUUAUAGCACCUGGUUGACAAGGGAACAAGCUCUUACGGUGUGUUCACACAUACAAGGCUGAAUAAAAGGAUUGUGAACCAUCAGUUUGAGAGACCAUCUUUUCAACCGGGGAUGCUACAGAGACCAUUCCAAAGGUUGAUCUGCAUCACUAGAUUUUCAGCAUCUUUAUUCUGAUUGGCUACAAGUCAUCUACGUCACACCAACUCGGCAAUACUGUUGGGCAGUCGAGCUGUCUGUCAAAUCUGUCGACUCUACUGGGAGAUGGACACCGACAAUCAUUACAGCAUGACAGAAAGUCCGCGGUGUGUCGACGGGAUCAUGAAGGGGCACGUGGGACGGACACGGAGGUGGAGGUCGAUAACACCAGGCCCUCCGCGCGCCCAAGGACGAGCGCCAGGCCCUGUCCCCGGACUGACCCAGUGACCUUCCGAGACGUCCGGAACCCCAUUAGCCGCCAGCCUCUCCUCCCCCCAAUGAGCCGCCUUUUUUCUGCAUUCCUGCUCUACCCCCUCUGUGUUUUAAAAAAAUAAAUAUUUGUUGUUAAAAACAACUGUUGCAUCCUAUUUUGUGCAUUCUAGUCCUCUGCCUAGAAUUUUUCCCACCAAAAAGCAAUGGACUAACUGUUUUGAUUUAAAAACUUCUUCGUUUCAGCCGAGAUGUCCGGAACACCAGGAGUCGCCAUCCUCUCCUCCCCCUGAUGAGCCGCCUUUUUUAAAAAAACGUUAUUUUAUCAUUUAUUAACUGUAGUUAUUAUCAAACUUGUUUGUUUAAGAAAUGUUCUCCCGGUUUUAAAAAACUUUAAAAAUCUUCUUACCUUAUUUUUGAUGAGCCGCCUUUUUUAAAAACGUUAUUUUAUCAUUUAUUUAUUUAUUUAUCAUUUAUUAACUGUAGUUAUUAUCAAACUUGUUUGUUGGACAAAAAAGAAGCCGAGAAGUUUCUGCAGGAUACGACAUUGACAGCGAGAGGUGUAUGUAAACUCUGACGGUACCUUUCA
ensembl:lncRNA